GGCAGUGUGGUCCAGUGGAAAGAACGCAGGACUGAGAGUCAGGAGAUCUGGGUUCUAAUUCCGGCUCCGCCA
rnacentral:tRNA from 1 species